CCCAAAUUGAUGGUUUUAGGGCUCCAAAUUAUGUCCGAUUUGAUGAUAUGGAAUUGUCAUACCAAUUAAAGAAAGCUACGAUGAUUGGUUGGGUGCCGGAAUUCGAAUUCCGAGGCUGGGCCUGAUUGAACUCUACACAUAUAGUGCAACCUUCCAUUUGAAGGACCGAUAUUGCUUAUAUAGCCCGUUUGAGCGUAGAUUUACAGCUUACAUAUUGAGCAUACUUGACAGUUGAGCGGGCCAAAGCGUCCAUUGGAUCUAUGCAUUUUCUCCACAAGGGAUCAUCCGAAGGCAAAAGUUCGCGAAACUCAUCAGAAGCAAGAACCACUCUGUUCACAGCUCUUACCAGCAGAAUAUGAAGAGAGAUUCUCAGCAGAUUCGUUGCUCCUACAAAGUCCUUUUGGCUCAGCGCUUGAACCGCAGAUGUAGCAGUCUCAGGUAGUAUUGCAAGAAUCAUCAAGAAACGGAGGGGCAGGCGAGAAAUACCUCGUUUUCAAGUUUCUGCUGAUACAUCCUAGUCACCAACAAGGUGUUGGUGGCUAGAAGACCAAUGGUGAGAGCGCUGCCAGCUUCAAUCGGCCUCAGCUUCGCCUCCUUCAGCUCCUCAGCUACAGAUUCACCCAUAUGAAUAAAAGCAAACUCCACAUUUUUCAAGAAUCACUCGUUUACGCCUCAACUUCUCAACUAUCAACCAGUGGUCGUCAAUGUAUACUUCCUCUGGUUCACCAGAAAGGCCACGUAACGAACCUUUUUGAAGCGAUAAUAGCUGGUUGAUCAGCGCUGGUUCCAUGCAGAGGACGAAUGGCAGCUCUCUUUCGUGAUCAAUGAGUUUCUUUGCGAAAAUCAGACUGGAAUCACCUCCAAGUAUCCCCACCACGUUGGUCGGAUCACUGAGAGCUCUACCAUGAUGGAUUACCGAUGCUGUAAGUCUCACUGUUGCUCGAUUUCUUUGCCCUUUCCUCUGCAUCAUGUCUCUAGAUAUAAAACAACGGUUGCAAGGUGAACAAACGAGCGACUGCAAAAACAUGUUUGGUUUAAUUGUUCUA